UACGGUAGGGGGCUAGCGUUGUCCGGAAUCAUUGGGCGUAAAGAGCGUGUAGGCGGUCCGGUAAGUCCGCUGUGAAAGUCGGGGGCUCAACCCUCGAAUGCCGGUGGAUACUGUCGGGCUAGAGUGCGGAAGAGGCGAGUGGAAUCCUGGUGUAGCGGUGAAAUGCGCAGAUAUCAGGAGGAACACCUAUUGCGAAGGCAGCUCGCUGGGACGUUACUGACGCUGAGACGCGAAAGCGUGGGGAGCAAACAGG
rnacentral:rRNA from 1 species